rnacentral:rRNA from 1 species
GAUGAACGCUGGCGGCGUGCCUAAUACAUGCAAGUCGAGCGGUAAGGCCCUUCGGGGUACACGAGCGGCGGACGGCUGAGUAACGCGUAGGAACGUACCCCAAACUGAGGGAUAAGCACCAGAAAUGGUGUCUAAUACCGCAUGUGAUCUCCGGAUUAAAGCUUCGGCGGUUUGGGAACGGCCUGCGUACGAUUAGAUAGUUGGUAGGGUAAUGGCCUACCAAGUCGACGAUCGUUAGCUGGUCUGAGAGGAUGAUCAGCCAGACUGGGACUGAGAACGGCCCAGACUCCUACGGGAGGCAGCAGUAGGGAAUUUUCCACAAUGGGGGCAACCCUGAUGGAGCAACGCCGCGUGCAGGAUGAAUGCCUUCGGGUUGUAAACUGCUUUUAUAUGUGACGAAUAUGACGGUAGCAUAUGAAUAAGGAUCGGCUAACUCCGUG